ensembl:lncRNA
GAUAGAGAGAUUAUGGAUUGUUUUCCUUUUGAGUAGUCUACCAGAAGUGUAGGGAUUUUACGUUUUAUCAAAAUAAAUUUCCUAUGCUGUUUUUACCAGGACUUUAAUCCCAUGUGCUAACAUUUUUCUUACAGCUAUUUAAUUCUCUGCAUUCACCUGAAAAUCUUUGUCACCAAGGUUAAAUGGAUAACAAAGCAUUGUUUUAUAGGGACCUAUGAUAUUGUGUGGAUAUGUUUCAUCUUCAGAAAGGUUCACGGAAAGGGCUCUGACACUUACCCUAGAAUACAGAUUUCUGACAAACCUUCAGGUCAUAAAACUAAACUGGGUAAGAAGUUACAGAACUCUAAUGGAGAAACUGAUGAAUUCAAGAAACUGUUAAUAAAAGAUCAAGAUCGGGGGCUGGCCCCGUGGCCGAGUGGUUAAGUUCGCGCGCUCCGCUGCAGGUGGCCCAGUGUUUCGUCGGUUCGAAUCCUGGGCGCGGACAUGGCACUGCUCGUCAGACCACGCUGAGGCAGCGUCCCACAUGCCACAACUAGAGGAACCCACAACGAAGAAUACACAACUAUGUACCGGGGGGCUUUGGGGAGAAAAAGGAAAAAAUAAAAUCUUUAAAAAAAAAAAAAAAAGAUCAAGAUCAAGAGUUGAUUUCAUGGGACUGAAUGAACUGAUGAGGACAAUUAUAAUUUUUAUGAAUUUUCAUUUGAAAUAUUGCUGAUUUUUUAAUGUUUUGUUUUUUCAGAUUUAAGGAAAAGUUUUUCUCUUUUCUCUUAAGCUAACUAUGACUUAGAGCAAUUUCAUAAAUUAUACCUUUGUAAGCAGAAUUGAAACAUUUAUCUUUUUCUCCCUACCUGAUCCCUCCAGAAUUUGCAAACUUUUAGUAAGUGAGUAUCUUAUUUUCAUGGCAAUACACUUAUUUGCCAUGAACUUAUAAGUUCAAUAAGAAUCUAUUCUUCUUACAACAGGACACAGUUAGAAAUGUUGGUUAUAUUACUAAAGCUUUGAGUGGAAUGUCAUAUUUCAGAAAAACAUGCAUAGACUUAGAUCUGACCAGACAGCUAAGGGACAAAGAUUGACUUUAUGAAACAAAUAAAGGCACUCGGAAAUAUUGACCUAGUAUCUUGCUUACAGGGUUCCCAGCCACCUUACCAGGUGAGUAAAGAAGGUCGCUUCCUUGGCAGAUGCAAAGAAUCUCAGGAUAUUUUGGGAAUCUCAAGAAGAGAGGAAUUCAUCCAAGUCAAUAGGUAUUGCAGGCAGAGUCUGAUGACAAGUCUUUGGCUUUGUUUUCCUGGCCUCAAGAGGCCUUCAAUCUGAGAUUCCUUAUAAAAAGUUCCAGCAAAACAGAUUUGAAAGAGCCUAUAUGAUCAAUUGCUAUUCUUGCUGUACUUAUGUAAAUAACUGGGCUAAGUUUAUUGAAACUGGACUUAUUUUACAUGCCAAUUAGUCUUAAUUUGGUGAUCCUUUGGUAAAAAUGAUGAUGAGUUUAGAGAGAGAAAUUAUGUUUCAGUAGAAACUAUAGUGUUCAUUUGUAGACAUUAGAUUCUAGUUCUAUUAAUUGUCUUUGAGGUUUUUGUUUUCUAUGUGUAAACUAGACUGGAUCCUGAAUUCUUGUAGUCUCCUGACAUAUCUAGCUACAAGUCUCCAAACUAACAUUUGCAAUUUUUCCAUCAUUUUCAUUUGAAAUCAUUAAGAACUGAAAUCACGCUUGUUCCUGAAGCCCUGCAAACUGAAGCUGGACAACUUGAUAUAAACUUAAGAGAGAUCACCACAAUAGCAGCCAAUUGAUAUGUAAACUACUCAAAAGACACAUGAACACACAAUGACAUCAUCAGAGACAUUUUAAACUGCAAAAGAUGCUUUGACCCUGACAUCUAGAAAUCUUGCCUGGUUGUCUCCUGGGUUGUCUCCUAGUUUAUAAUUUGCUCCAACCAUUAACCUUGUUUUUCUUUUUGUUUCCAUAGAAAUGUUUCUUAUUAAAUACCUAGUUGCUUGCUUACAUGAUAUAGGCCUAACUAUGGGAGCCUACCUACAUCACUGUUUGAAAUGAAUUUAAGUGGACUGAUCUAUUAUCAGGACUAAGAGAUGUGUUUAAUGAGAUGGUACAAUCUACCAACCCAGCUUCUGGACUGUGAAACUUCUUCAAGCUUCAAAGGCGGGAGGAUCAGAAUUAGCUAUGCGAAAAUGUGUCUCUUUGGCUUGAUUAUUUUUAAGGGCAAAAGACUCUGAAAGAAACUUUGACCUUUCCUCAACUCCCUAAAAGAAUUUAAGGUAGAAGGCCUGUCCCUGGAAGGAGUUAUCACCAUAGAUAACUUUGGGUAGAAUAGACUGGGAGGAUCCUUGCUGAGCCCAUUUUUAUCAGAGUUCUCUUUCAGAUCUUGUUGUCUACAGAUGGCUCAGGAAACAUUUGUUUAUCAAACGCUUGCUUUUCCAUCUCCAUAUAAAUUGCCUUCAUCUCCUUUGAAGUCCCAAACCACUACCCCCAAUAUCCUCCUUUGUCUUUAGCUGAAGAUGGAAUUUAAGGUGGUGGCUUUGGCCAUUUUGGUGAGUUACUCAGUGUUCCUGUGUCUCUUCCAUGUAUACAUGCUAUUAAACUUUGAUUUUCUCCUGUUAUUUCUCCUGUUAUUCUGUCUCAUGUCAAUUUAAUUCCUAGACAAGCCAGAAAGACCUAGAAGGUAGAGGAAUAAUUCUUCCUCCCCUACAGCAUCUACC